rnacentral:rRNA from 1 species
CUCAGGAUGAACGCUAGCUACAGGCUUAACACAUGCAAGUCGAGGGGCAGCAUUGGGAUAGCUUGCUAUUCAGAUGGCGACCGGCGCACGGGUGAGUAACGCGUAUCCAACCUUCCUGCCAGUAGGGAACAGCCCGGCGAAAGUCGGAUUAAUGCCCUAUGUUCUCAAUGCGGACAUCUAAGUUGAAGGAAAGAUUCAUCGCUGGCAGAUGGGGAUGCGUCCGAUUAGCUUGCCGGCGGGGUAACGGCCCACCGGGGCGACGAUCGGUAGGGGUUCUGAGAGGAAGGUCCCCCACACUGGUACUGAGACACGGACCAGACUCCUACGGGAGGCAGCAGUGAGGAAUAUUGGUCAAUGGGCGUAAGCCUGAACCAGCCAAGUAGCGUGCCAGGACGACGGCCCUACGGGUUGUAAACUGCUUUUAUGCGGGGAUAAAGUGCGGCACGUGUGCCGCUUUGCAGGUACCGCAUGAAUAAGGACCGGCUAAUUCCGUGCCAGCAGCGGC